CCCUUGCCAUGCCCCAGUACGGCGAGUGAGCGGCAACAGCUCAAAUUUGAAAUCUGGUCCCUAGGGCCCGAGUUGUAAUUUGUAGAGGAUGCUUUUGGUGAGGUGCCGCCCGAGUUCCCUGGAACGGGACGCCACAGAGGGUGAGAGCCCCGUCUGGCUGGCCGCCGAGCCUCUGUAAAGCUCCUUCGACGAGUCGAGUAGUUUGGGAAUGCUGCUCAAAAUGGGAGGUAUAUGUCUUCUAAAGCUAAAUAUUGGCCAGAGACCGAUAGCGCACAAGUAGAGUGAUCGAAAGAUGAAAAGCACCUUGAAAAGAGGGUUAAAUAGUACGUGAAAUUGUUGAAAGGGAAGCGCUUGUGACCAGACUUGGGCGCGGCGGAUCAUCCGGGGUUCUCUCCGGUGCACUUCGCCGCGUCUAGGCCAGCAUCAGUUCGUCGCGGGGGAAAAAGGCUUCGGGAACGUGGCUCCUCCGGGAGUGUUAUAGCCCGUUGCAUAAUACCCUGCGGUGGACUGAGGACCGCGCAUCUGCAAGGAUGCUGGCGUAAUGGUCACCAGCGACCCGUCUUGAAACACGGACCCA
rnacentral:rRNA from 1 species